rnacentral:misc_RNA from 1 species
AUUCCUACAAGCCUGGGGAGUAGCUCUCAUGCAGAAUUACUAUGGAUGGUAACUGGUGUCUCUAAAUUGAGUGGUUCUGAUUGCAACUCUUUGGCUCGAGUGAGGGUUCUUUCUGGUUUUAAGAAAAGUAAUCCUGAUUCUGUUGGCCAUGAGUUAACUGUGAUGAGAGAUGAUGAACUACCUGGAGCAGAGAAACUACUAGAGAAGUUGCAGGGAAGUGUGUCACUUGAGGAGAAUGUUUUUUUAGCAGCCGCUGAAGCUGUGAAAACAGCAAUGUGUAAUUUGUUAAUUAAGAAGCAGUACUCCAUGGAGAAGAGAGAAUUUAGAAAGAGAAGUAGAAAUGAUAGGAAAAUCAAACAAUGAUAGACUCAACAGUUGUAACUGCUGAUUCAUGGGUUGGAGGCAUCUGAGCUUAAUUUAUUUUUGUAGUUGUCUUAGAUAGCCCUUCUAAUCUGUU